AUUGAACGCUGGCGGCAGGCCUAACACAUGCAAGUCGAACGGUAACAGGAAGCAGCUUGCUGCUUCGCUGACGAGUGGCGGACGGGUGAGUAAUGUCUGGGAAACUGCCUGAUGGAGGGGGAUAACUACUGGAAACGGUAGCUAAUACCGCAUAACGUCGCAAGACCAAAGAGGGGGACCUUAGGGCCUCCUGCCAUCGGCUGUGCCCAGAUGGGAUUAGCUAGUAGGUGGGGUAACGGCUCACCUAGGCGACGAUCCAUAGCUGGUCUGAGGGGAUGACCAGCCACACUGGAACUGAGACACGGUCCAGACUCCUACGGGAGGCAGCAGUGGGGAAUAUUGCGCAAUGGGCGCAAGCCUGAUGCAGCCAUGCCGCGUGUAUGAAGAAGGCCUUCGGGUUGUAAAGUACUUUCAGCGGGGAGGAAGGGAGUAAAGUUAAUACCUUUGCUCAUUGACGGUACCCGCAGAAGAAGCACCGGCUAACUCCGUG
rnacentral:rRNA from 1 species